GACGAACGCUGGCGGCGUGCUUAACACAUGCAAGUCGAACGGAAAGGCCCUGCUUUUGUGGGGUGCUCGAGUGGCGAACGGGUGAGUAACACGUGAGUAACCUGCCCUUGACUUUGGGAUAACUUCAGGAAACUGGGGCUAAUACCGGAUAGGAGCUCCUGCUGCAUGGUGGGGGUUGGAAAGUUUCGGCGGUUGGGGAUGGACUCGCGGCUUAUCAGCUUGUUGGUGGGGUAGUGGCUUACCAAGGCUUUGACGGGUAGCCGGCCUGAGAGGGUGACCGGCCAUAUUGGGACUGAGAUACGGCCCAGACUCCUACGGGAGGCAGCAGUGGGGAAUAUUGCACAAUGGGCGGAAGCCUGAUGCAGCAACGCCGCGUGCGGGAUGACGGCCUUCGGGUUGAAAACCGCUUUCGCCUGUGACGAAGCGUGAGUGACGGUAAUGGGUAAAGAAGCACCGGCUAACUACGUG
rnacentral:rRNA from 1 species